rnacentral:lncRNA from 1 species
CUGAACAUUUUUCAUUUUUUUCAUUCAAAAUUUGAAAUAAAAGGAGUUACAAUUUGUUCAUUUGACAGUUACCUACUAAUCUAACUGCCUCCACUAAUUUACAACCAAUGUAAGUUUAAGUCAAAUACAAAAUGAGCUGCCAUAUCAGCUUUUACAUCAGCUAUCUAAUCACUAACUUAAUCUUGCUAACUAUUAAAGCUAGUUACAAUUAAACUGAACUAAAUUACAUCAAAACAAAACAGCAAUGUCAGUUGCUUCAUUUGGUCCAAAAACCAUUCGUGCGCGCCAAGCAAAAUGAGCUGAGCUCGAUAGCUGCUGGUCUCGACAGUAGCAUGCUUCUGGCUCCAUGUUGCAUUGCAGUCCAGCUUUCAAC